GUGCUUGCUUCAGCAGCACGUAUACUAAAAUGGGAAAGAUACAGAAAGGAUUAGCAUGGUCCCUGCUCAAGGAUGAUACACAAUUUGUGAAGCCUUCCAUAUUUUU
rnacentral:snRNA from 1 species